CCUAGCACGCCCGUGGCUGGUCCCCCAGCCCCCGCCAACGGCCGCUGAACCGCCGUGCCGGCGUUGCAGGGAGGCUCCGCCGCAGUGAUGCAAGAAUCGGGGCCUUGAAAACCUCACGAGCCCGGAGGACACUAAAGGGCGGCCUUGGGGUGGGGGCAAGAGGCGCCCCGGGAAGCGGAGUCCAUCCAGGACCCCCCACCCAACCCCGACCAAAUGGGAUCCCGGCGCGCACCUCGCCCCGUGCACCGCCCCAGGACUCCGAGAAAAGCCAGGCUAUCCUACCCGUUUUCCUGUCACUAUGACUUGUCUGGCAAACGUCUGGAAGCCUGUUCUGUGAGACCAUGCUAGACCCGGGGACACCUGAUCCACACAAGUGGAGGGCUGGACAGAGUCAUGUACGCAGCCAGUCACAGCCCAGGGUGCCAGUGGGGCUCCUUAGUGAAAGGCAUCUCCAUGCCGUGGAAGCGGGCCAUCUUCGUGGCAAUGGCGGCUGACAACACCGGAUCUCGAAGCUCACGCGUUGUCAAGGGCCGACUCUGCACCCAGGAACCUAUCAGGGUGGUGAGGGGGCUGGGG